GUUUUUGUUUCAUUCACCAAGUUUAUUUUGAGUCUUACUAGGCAUUGUGUUCAGCCCAAAAAGAAUCAAAUAUUGAAGAAUAUUUCUAUUGCCCUGGCUUGAACUAUAUUAAAUUUGUUUAUCGUGUUAUAAUCUUUAUCAAAGACAUCAACUAAAAUAUCCAGUCAUAAUAAAAAGGUAUUUACAAGGAAAGGUAUUUCUAGAGGAAA